rfam:Salmo salar isolate Sally breed double haploid chromosome ssa06, whole genome shotgun sequence.
UUAACUCACUACUGUAAGUCGCUCUGGAUAAGAGCACAUGCUAAAUGACUAAAA